rnacentral:tRNA from 1 species
GGUUAUAGUUCAGUGGUAGAGCACUUGCCUUGCAUGCUUGAGGCCCUGGGUUCGAUCCUCAGCACCA